GUGUUCGUGAAAAGGAGAGAUGGUUGGCAUCUCCCCUAACAGGGACGGAAACAGCCUUCGGGCUUUCCUAUACACAUCCUGUUAAGGCUUCCCACUUCGGUGGAUCUAUAACCCAAUUUUUUU
rfam:Cajanus cajan CcLG06_1288, whole genome shotgun sequence.